UGCGGCGGAUUAGGUAGUUGGUGGGGUAACGGCCUACCAAGCCGAUGAUCCGUAGGGGGCGUGAGAGCGUGGCCCCCCACACUGGCACUGAGACACGGGCCAGACUCCUACGGGAGGCAGCAGUGAGGAAUAUUGCACAAUGGGCGCAAGCCUGAUGCAGCAACGCCGCGUGAGGGACGAAGGCCUUCGGGUUGUAAACCUCUUUUCUGAGGGACGAGGAAGGACGGUACCUCAGGAAUAAGUCUCGGCUAACUACGUGCCAGCAGCCGCGGUAAAACGUAGGAGGCGAGCGUUAUCCGGAUUUACUGGGCGUAAAGCGCGCGCAGGUGGCUUCGUUAGUCGGACAUGAAAGCUCCUGGCUUAACUGGGAGAGGCUGUUCGAUACUGCAGAGCUUGAGGUUGGGAGAGGGACGCGGAAUUCCCGGUGUAGUGGUGGAAUGCGUAGAUAUCGGGAGGAACACCAGUGGCGCAAGCGGCGUCCUGGCCCACACCUGACGCUGAGGUGCGAAAGCGUGGGUAGCAAACAGGAUUAGAUACCCUGGUAGUCCACGCUGUAAACGAUGUCAACUGGGUGUCGGUAGUUUUACACUAUCGGUGCCGAAGCUAACGCG
rnacentral:rRNA from 1 species